GAGGGUGCGAGCGUUGUUCGGAAUUACUGGGCGUAAAGCGCGCGCAGGCGGUUCUUUAAGUCUACCCGUGAAAUGCCGGAGCUCAACUCCGUGCACGCCGGGGGAUACUGGAGAACUGGAGACAGGUAGAGGCAGGCGGAAUUCCGGGUGUAGCGGUGGAAUGCGUAGAGAUCCGGAAGAACACCAGAGGCGAAGGCGGCCUGCUGGGCCUUGUCUGACGCUGAGGCGCGAAAGCGUGGGGAGCGAACAGGAUUAGAUACCCUGGUAGUCCACGCCGUAAACGAUGGGCACUGGGCGCGGGUGGGAUCGACCCCUUCCGUGCCGUAGCUAACGCGAUAAGUGCCCCGCCUGGGGAGUACGGCCGCAAGGCUG
rnacentral:rRNA from 1 species